rnacentral:rRNA from 1 species
UGGGGAAUUGUUCGCAAUGGGCGCAAGCCUGACGACGCAACGCCGCGUGGAGGAUGACGAUUUUCGGAUCGUAAACUCCUGUCGAAUGGGACGAACAGAUCUCGGGUGAACAAUCCGAGGUCCUGACGGUACCGUUAAAGGAAAACCCGGCUAACUCCGUGCCAGCAGCCGCGGUAAUACGGGGGGGGUAAGCGUUGUUCGGAAUUACUGGGCGUAAAGGGCUCGUAGGCGGCCAACUAAGUCAGACGUGAAAUCCCUCAGCUUAACUGGGGAACUGCGUCUGAUACUGGAUGGCUUGGAUUCGGGAGAGGAAUGCGGAAUUCCAGGUGUAGCGGUGAAAUGCGUAGAUAUCUGGAGGAACACCGGUGGCGAAGGCGGCAUUCUGGACCGACAUUGACGCUGAGGAGCGAAAGCCAGGGGAGCAAA